UUGAAAAAGGCAAACCAGUUGUAAAAUUGGGACGCAAAGUUUUGGGUCUUAUAUAAAUAAGAUUGCC
rnacentral:ncRNA from 1 species